ACUCAAACUCCUGGGCACAAGUGAUCCUCCCAGCUCAGCCUCCUGAGUAGUUUGGACUACAGGUGUCUACUACCAUGCCUGGCUUUAUAAUUCUUAAGGCUACUUGCCUAGCAAUGUUGAAAAAAUAUCCAACUUAGUUGAUAUAUUAAGUUAAUUCAGCUAGCUAAAAGCAAAGAUUAUAGAUUCCAUGUAAUAAUGACAUGCUUUAAACAAGUCAUAUUCCCGAUAAACUCUAAUAGAACCAGAAAAGAGCCACCCGAAUAAAUAAAUGUUAUUGUUUCAAAGCACAAAUAGUUUUUAGGCCUUGGAGCAUGCCAUGAUGAUGUAAAAACUUGCUCUGAUGUAUUCCUCAUACCAGACUGAAAUGUCACAUUUUGUAACAAGUUUAUUUAUAUCAAUGUUCCUUAGCUCCACUGUGGACUAAGCUUCAACUUAAAUACAGCUUUCUGGAAGUCAUUAGUGAGACUGUUUGUUUUAUACAGUUUAAUCUGAAUACUCCUUGCCUUAUAAAUCCUUACUCUUUGAAUGGUGGACAUAUUAAACAUAAAAUAAUUCUUUGUCUACAUGUUUAAAAGCAUUUGGUUUUACUUCUACAUGAUUACAUUUAUUUCUCUUUUAAAUCUUGCUAUUAAAAAGGGAAGUAACAAGGUAUUCUCAUGUAGAAUAAAAAGCCAAGUGCCUUUCUGGAUCCAAGACUUCUGAAAUAAGAGUUGUUCCUGUUCAAAAGCUGCCUGGUCCAAGACUGAUGUAACUAAAGACAAUAUCAUAGGAUCUUAGCCUUCUAAUCUCACUAGGGA
rnacentral:lncRNA from 1 species